GUGCCAGAUACUCACUAGUUGUAGGGCAAGGUGUAAACUAGUUGUAGGGCAAGGCACUAGUCGUGCAAGAUGCACACCAGUUGUAGUGCAAGAUGUAAACUAGUUGUAGUACAAGACACUAGUUGUAAUGCAAGAUGCUCAAUAGUUGUAGUGCAAGAUGUAAACUAGUUGUAGUGCAAGGCACUCACUAGUUGUAGUGCAAGGUGUAAACUAGUUGUAGUGCAAGACGCUCACUCGUUGUAGUGCAAGACGCUAGUUGUAGUGCAAGAUACUCACUAGUUGUAGUGCAAGGUGUAAACUAGUUGUAGUGCAAGGUGUAAACGAGUUGUAGUGCAAGGUGUAAACCCAUUGUAGCGCAAGGUGUAAACCCGUUGUAGAGCAAGGUGUAAACCCGUUGUAGCGCAAGGUGUAAACCCGUUGUAGAGCAAGGUGUAAACCCGUUGUAGAGCAAGAUGUAAGCCUGUUGUAGCACAAGGUGUAAACCCAUUGUAGCACAAGGUGUAAACCCGUUGUAGAGCAAGGUGUAAACCCAUUGUAGCACAAGGUGUAAACCCGUUGUAGCGCAAGAUGUAAACCCGUUGUAGCACAAGGUGUAAACCCAUUGUAGCACAAGGUGUAAACCUGUUGUAGCACAAGGUGUAAACCCAUUGUAGAGCAAGGUGUAAACCCAUUGUAGAGCAAGAUGUAAGCCUGUUGUAGCACAAGGUGUAAACCCAUUGUAGCACAAGGUGUAAACCCGUUGUAGAGCAAGGUGUAAACCCAUUGUAGCACAAGGUGUAAACCCAUUGUAGCGCAAGGUGUAAACCCGUUGUAGCACAAAGUUUAAACCUGUUGUAGCACAAGGUGUAAACCCAUUGUAGCACAAGGUGUAAACCCGUUGUAGAGCAAGGUGUAAACCCGUUGUAGAGCAAGGUGUAAACCCGUUGUAGCGCAAGGUGUAAACCCGUUGUAGCACAAGGUGUAAACCCGUUGUAGCACAAAGUUUAAACCUGUUGUAGCACAAGGUGUAAACCCAUUGUAGCACAAGGUGUAAACCCGUUGUAGCACAAGGCACCCUCUCCUUGCAGCCCCGCCUCCGCCUCCUGGCCCUGUGCCCGUCACCGCGUCACCCUCCGGCGGUGCCACCCGGCGCCGGGGGCGGU